rnacentral:rRNA from 1 species
UACGUAGGGGGCGAGCGUUGUCCGGAGUUACUGGGCGUAAAGCGUGCGCAGGCGGUUCGUUGUGUCGGCGGUGAAAGCCCCGGGCUUAACCUGGGAAUGGCCGUUGAAACUGGCGAACUGGAGUGUGGCAGAGGGGGGUGGAAUUCCGCGUGUAGCAGUGAAAUGCGUAGAGAUGCGGAGGAACACCGAUGGCGAAGGCAGCCCCCUGGGCUAACACUGACGCUCAGGCACGAAAGCGUGGGGAGCAAACAGG